ACACGUUUAGACAACUAUUUAUGUCUAUUCACUUCACCGGGUCGAUACAUCCUGUCAAAACAAAGACUCCAAGCGAAUCCUGCCGAAGUUAAUGUUUUCAGUGGAGAUCCGUUGCGUAUUCAGGCAUCCCAAGAGAUUGCUAACCCGAGACCAUUGUCUUCCAUCCCUGGACAAUCGGAAGGCUUUGCAAUCAACUUUGGAAGGAUAUAUCUGAGCUGGUAUAUAGAAGCAAUGGACUCAGAAGAAACCUGGGGAAGACUGCAGAAUAACACCGACAAGGCAACAGCUGCAGAGAAAGGCUGUGCCAACUUUGCCUUUUAAGAACCACAAGGCUUAAAAGUCUUUUAGAAAGCCUCUCAGCCUGUUUCCAAAGUUCCAAAUUCGCCUGUAAAGAAAUUGGACCCCCGAACUACAGCCAUGAGUGCAUGACUUUAUGACCUGCUGAACAUGCAUCUCUUCGAAGUAAUCCAACACUCAAGAAGCUUGACUCCAUCCAGGACAAAGUUGCCUGCUUGAUUGGCACCCUAUCCACAAACAUUCACUUCCUCU